rnacentral:misc_RNA from 1 species
AACGCACAUUGCGCUUCCUGGUAUUCCGGGGAGCAUGCCCGUUUCAGAAUCAUUACAAUCUCACAACCCCUUUGCUUUCGAGCUUAGGGCAAGUGGAUGUGGAUGCUUUGCGCUUUAGCAAUCAUCUUAAAAUGAUAGUGUGUGCCCCAGUCAGUCUGAUUGGUCAACCAAAGUGCAACAGAUUUAUCUAUUACGCUCUGGCUUUCAAAUCUGGACUUGUUGGGAUUCCUACUCAAAUUCUUAACAGUCGCCACGUCAAAUGAUGUGGUUCCUGAUAACUUGGUCUGAAAUCGGGCAAGAAAACCCGCUGAACUUAA